AACGAACGCUGGCGGCAGGCCUCAAACAUGCAAGUCUAGGGGGUGUAGCAAUACAUCACCGGCGGACGGGUGCGUAACGCGUGGGAAUAUACCUAUCGAUUCGGAACAACUGAGGGAAACUUCAGCUAAUACCGAAUACGUCCUAACGGAGAAAGAUUUAUCGUCGAUAGAUUAGCCCGCGUUCGAUUAGCUAGUUGGUGGGGUAACGGCCCACCAAGGCGACGAUCGAUAGCUGUUCUGAGAGGAAGAUCAGCCACACUGGGACUGAGACACGGCCCAGACUCCUACGGGAGGCAGCAGUUGGGAAUAUUGGACAAUGGGCGAAAGCCUGAUCCAGCCAUGCCGCGUGUGUGAAG
rnacentral:rRNA from 1 species